rnacentral:rRNA from 1 species
UACGUAGGGGGCUAGCGUUGUCCGGAAUCAUUGGGCGUAAAGAGCGUGUAGGCGGUCCGGUAAGUCCGCUGUGAAAGUCGGGGGCUCAACCCUCGAAUGCCGGUGGAUACUGUCGGGCUCGAGUCCGGAAGAGGAGUGUGGAAUUCCUGGUGUAGCGGUGAAAUGCGCAGAUAUCAGGAGGAACACCAAUGGCGAAGGCAGCACUCUGGGACGUGACUGACGCUGAGACGCGAAAGCGUGGGGAGCAAACAGG